rnacentral:lncRNA from 1 species
AGGUGGGCUUGCAGCUGCCCGGCUUUUCUUCGUCGGGCCGUGCGGAGCGCUGAGCCCCGGUCCUUCCCGGCCCGCGGGUCCCUCCCAGUGCUGCCUCCCCCGGGGACCGUUCAGCAUCCCGGCCUCGAGAAGGCGGACUUUGGACAGCACGUGUGUGGCGGGGACCGACGGGCGAGCUCCACCUGGUACAAGUCUUGCUUCUCGGAAAGAAGGCCUGUGGCCGACCUGAACCUCGUCUCCACGUGGUUGCCUGGGCGACCGGACGCCGCGGUCGGGAGUCAGCACAGCAGAGACCCGCGACUGAACGAGUUGGAACUGCAGGAGCGGAACGGGUGGAUCAGAGACUUAUCAACCUACAUGAGAAUUUAUUUUUAUCACCUAAAACCAAGCUCAUCUCCUCCUCCUCAAUAAACCCACUUCCACUUCGGUGCUGAAAGAGGCUAUCACAGUCGUACCUGGCCAUCUCUCUGAGGAAUCUGAGAUUCUGCUGCAAUGUUCCUUCCAUCUCUGCAGUUUAACACUGAGUCCUGCCAAUUAUCCUUCCUUCUCUCUGCAAAAAUGAAAAAUUGUAACAAAUUUAUUGUAAGAGUCUAAGCCACUUCUAUUUGAGAUUCUAGAGUUGGGCGAUAUCUCAUUCUGUGGGAUAGAUUUGAUGUUUAGAUAAGCUGAGGUGAGGCAAUUGGCUUUAUAACAACGGCUGGCAGGUGGAGGUCACUCAAAUGACCGUCAAGUUAAAGGGUUAGCAAUAUCCCCCAUGUUGUCCCUGGAGCGAGAGCUGUUUGGUAGACAGGUGGGGGAGGAAGCCAGAUUAUAGUGGACCAACAGGAAGGGCGGGGGUUGACCUUAGUUGAGAGGCAAGUGAACACAAAGAAGCACCUCCGCAUACAUCCUCCUCCAUGAAGCAGGGCUAAUGUAACCUGUAGCAGACAUCCCUGCCCAGUAUUCAUGGGCUAUGAGUGGCACCUGCUUCUUGCUGUCCAUAAUUUGGCUAUAGUGUUUUCAUAUCAGACCCAGCUUCUUCAUUCUGAGUCUCAUUUGCUAUCUCUUCUUUAAUUCGCUUUGUGUUGUGGUGGCUCACAGGAGGCCAGGACCUAUGUCAGAGGUUCUGGCAAUGUUUCCUUCCCCAUUCCCUGUAUGCCUUGUAAGGUACUCGGGGCUGCAGGAGAUGAUGAAAGUACAUGAAUAGUGUUAUGAGUGUAUGCAGGAAGAGUCACUAUUCCAAAAAAGCUGGUUCAGGCUCACAUAUACACAUUGGUGGCCUCACCUCCUGUCCCAAACUGCAGAUAGAGCUCCUGUUUCUAGGGCCCUUGUUAACUGAGCAUCUGUUAUAGGUUAAAAAUGUGAUUACUGAGAAGCUUAGAGGUGUUAGCAUAGUAACUAUACUAAGUAAAAGCUUAUGUUUUGGGCUGGGAAUGUAGCCCAGCAGUGCAGUGCCUGCCUGGCAAAUGCAAGGUCCUGUGUUCAAUUCCUGGUGAAAAAAAAAAAAAAAGCUUAUAUUUAAAAAAAGCUUGGGGCCGGGGAUUUAGCUCAGCGGUUCAGUGGCCUUCCUUGCAAGCUCAAGGACCCGAGUUCAAUCCCCAGUACCAAAAAAAAAAAAAAACUUUAAAAAAUAUGUACUAACACCAGUACUCUGUUUAAAAAUAAAUACAAUAUUUCAGUUAACUCAAUUUAGCCAUUCUACAAGGCACACAUAUUUGAAAUAUAUUGUAUAUAGAGAUAUAAUUUUUGUUAAUAUGAAUUGAUUUAAAAAUAAAAGGAGAUAUAGUUAUAUAAGCACAUAUAAUGUAUUUUCAUAUAUAUAUAUAUACAUAUAUAUAUGUGUGUAUAUAUAUAUAUAUAUAUAUAUAUAUAUACACACAGAUAUCUGGAAGAUGCACAAAAAGAUCAGGAAAAUCAGUUGCUUUAACUGAUAGCAUGUGUGGUUGAGGGUGAGGGAUGAAUGAGACAUUCUUUCUUUUAGUCUUUCUCCACAUGGUGCUGUACUACUGACCUACUUCUCUAUCCCUUUUUAAAAAUCUAUUUUGAGACAUUAAGUUGUCCAGGCUGGCCUCAAACUUGCUCUUCUUCUGUUUUAGCCUCCCAAGUAACUGGGAUUACAGAUACGAGCUACAUGGUAAGGCCCUAACUCAUCUUGAUUUUGUCGGAUUUUAUUACUACAUGCAUAUUAUCACCCAUUUAACACUGGCAACCAAAAAGUGUGUGUCUACCUCACGUUUCCAUUGCUGAUGGCCUCCAUUUGUCAUGGCUACCUGAUUUGCUCCAGAGUGCCUGAGCAGAGAGUUCUCUGGCCAUGUUGUGAGCUCACAGACGUGCAUUUUCUCAAUGACUGGCCAGAGUGAGUAGGUAUCAUUAUGGGCCACGACCUCAUCAGUUCCAUUGGAAUGUGCCAUCUGGCCUUUCCAGACAUAAUAAUUGUAAAGAAUGUUUAGUAUUUGCCAUGUGCAGAUGGUCUCCUUUACAAAUUUCUCCAUUUUGUCACUGUGUUACCUUUCCUUUGGUUGAAAGGAAACAGAACAAUAACAACAAAAAUAAUAAAGAGCAUUAACAUCUAAUGUGUUGUGUGCUUGUGUACGUAUAGGUUUGAUAGGAUGACCA